CGGAGAUGAAGCCCCCAAGCUUCCUCAAAAGCGCCCCCAGACCAAAACCAAGCCCACUCAGGCAGCUGGACCCAGCUCACCCCAGAAGCCCCCAACCCCUGAAGAGACCAAAGCAGCCUCACCAGUGCUCCAGGAAGAUAUAGACAUUGAGGGGGUACAGUCAGAAGGACAGGACAAUGGGGCGGAAGAUUCUGGGGACACAGAGGAUGAGCUGAGGAGGGUGGCAGAGCAGAAGGAACACAGACUGCCCCCUGGCCAGGAGGAGAAUGGGGAAGACCCGUAUGCAGGCUCCACGGAUGAGAACACGGACAGUGAGGAACACCAGGAGCCUCCUGAUCUGCCAGUCCCUGAGCUCCCAGGUGGGAAAUCUCCCCAUCCCUCCUGAAGUGGCAUUUUCUCUUCUCAGUU
rnacentral:lncRNA from 1 species